rnacentral:snRNA from 1 species
ACAUUCACUUCAGCAACAAACAUACUAGGAUUGGGACAACACAGAGAUUAGAAUGGCCCCUGCUCAAGAUGGCACACAAGUUUGUGAAGCAUUCCACAUCAUA